rnacentral:rRNA from 1 species
GUGGGGAAUAUUGGACAAUGGGCGAAAGCCUGAUCCAGCCAUGCCGCGUGAGUGAUGAAGGCCUUAGGGUUGUAAAGCUCUUUUGUCCGGGAAGAUAAUGACUGUACCGGAAGAAUAAGCCCCGGCUAACUUCGUGCCAGCAGCCGCGGUAAUACGAAGGGGGCUAGCGUUGCUCGGAAUCACUGGGCGUAAAGGGCGCGUAGGCGGACUUUUAAGUCGGAGGUGAAAGCCCAGGGCUCAACCCUGGAAUUGCCUUCGAUACUGGGAGUCUUGAGUUCGGAAGAGGUUGGUGGAACUGCGAGUGUAGAGGUGAAAUUCGUAGAUAUUCGCAAGAACACCGGUGGCGAAGGCGGCCAACUGGUCCGAAACUGACGCUGAGGCGCGAAAGCGUGGGGAGCAAACAGGAUUAGAAACCCGGGUAGUCC